AACGCGAAGAACCUUACCUGUUCUUGACAUCCCUCUGACGAGCCCGUAACGGGGAAGUUCCUUCGGGACAGAGGAGACAGGUGGUGCAUGGUUGUCGUCAGCUCGUGUCGUGAGAUGUUGGGUUAAGUCCCGCAACGAGCGCAACCCUUAUCUUUAGUAGCCAGCAGGUAGAGCUGGGCACUCUAGAGAGACUGCCGGGGAUAACCCGGAGGAAGGUGGGGAUGACGUCAAAUCAUCAUGCCCCUUAUGAGCAGGGCUACACACGUGCUACAAUGGCGUAAACAAAGGGAGGCGAAGCUGUGAAGUGGAGCAAAACCCAGAAAUAACGUCUCAGUUCGGAUUGUAGUCUGCAACUCGACUACAUGAAGCCGGAAUCGCUAGUAAUCGCAAAUCAGCAUGUUGCGGUGAAUACGUUCCCGGGUCUUGUACACACCG
rnacentral:rRNA from 1 species